rnacentral:lncRNA from 1 species
AUAAUAUGAGAAGCCCAAGCCACAUGGGGAGACCACAUGGAGAACUAACUUGCCUCUGUCAAUCCCAUAUGAUCUCCCUGCCAAGUGCCAGCAUCAAAUGCCAACCAUGAUUGUUUUAAGUCCUCAUUGGGCAUUUUAAGUUCUGUUUGAAAGAGCUGCAUCACAAUUCUUAUAAAGGACUUGUUGAAUCAUAAGCUGUUUCCUUAAGCACCAGUUAUGUGGGGGACCUUGUGCCAGGCACUGGGCCACAUAAAUGAGAAUCACAAGGACCAGGAUUAAGAAAAGACAGGCUCCAGUGUGACUCAGCACAGUGUUCACAGCCCAUGCUCUCAAGAAUCUCAGCUUAGGAGGAGGCAAAGAGGUAAAGCACAGGUCAACAUGCAGUGUUGGACUACAUAGAAAGUACAUAUCCUUCAUUAGUGCUGGCAAGACAGAUGAAUUAAUGCCUUUCAGGGCCGCUCUACAGUAAGGUAAAUAAGUCAUUUAGUCAGGAACUCUGCACAUUUACCUCUGCAUUUAUCAAAUAUUUGUUGAAGGAAAUAAUAAAAGAAGUGAGGAGGAAGAAGAGGUUUCCUGGGAGAAAGCACUCGAGGAGCAAUAGGUGUCCUCUUUCAUUUCCACUAAAUAUGCUGCUCAAUGCCUUGUGGCAUAACAGAAUCAAAACUUUUCAGAUGCCCUGCCGCUUUAACAAGACCCAGGAUAUGUCAAAAUGGCUCCCACAGAACUUUCAUUUGAUCUUAUCUUUCGCUGUCACACACAUCGACCUGCAUUUUCUUUUUUCUUUUUGAUUCUUUAUGUCUGCAAAUGAACUGAUGUAAUUAAAAAGGUGAAGAAAUAA